rnacentral:lncRNA from 1 species
GAGACACAGAGAAAGCAAGAUCGCAGGAGCUUCACUACCUGUCUCCACAGAGCUCCUAACAAGAUGCAACAGUGACUGCGUCACCAUUCCCCACUUUUCUCAACUACGCAGUGACAACCUCCCAGCAUCACCCCACUUCUCCCAGCCCACACCCUACCCCAUGCUUAUGUUCUCCACCACCCCACAUGCCUAGAACUAGGCGUUUUAAUAAGAGAAUGCCUAGAAAAACAGUCCCUCUUGCCUGUUCCUUGUUACUUCUCACACUCUCCCUUACCCAUAGACCUGCACCCAAACAACCUGGAAAACCAGUCUCUUCAACCACCAGCAGAAAACAGGGUAAAGGGUGGGAGGUUAAGUGGGAAGCCGGGGAUGGUUCACUCCUCUCCUCUAUCCUGGUCAGGCUUAAGUAACUGACACUAAGGGAGAAGAAAUUAAAGUAAAGAUAAAAUAAACCUUC